rnacentral:rRNA from 1 species
AAUAGAUACCCUGGUAGUCCACGCCGUAAACGAUGAGUACUAGGUGUAGGGGGUAUCGACCCCCCUCUGUGCCGCAGUUAACACAAUAAGUAUUCCGCCUGGGGAGUACGGCCGCAAGGUUGAAAACUCAAAGGAAUUGACGGGGACCCGCACAAGCGGUGGAGCAUGUGGUUUAAUUCGACGCAACGCGAAGAACCUUACCAGGGCUUGACAUCCCUUGCUAUCUGUGGAGACAUGGAGUCCUAAGCUUCGGUUUAGACGAGGAGACAGGUGGUGCAUGGUUGUCGUCAGCUCGUGUCGUGAGAUGUUGGGUUAAGUCCCGCAACGAGCGCAACCCCUAUUUUCAGUUGCCAGCGAGUAAAGUCGGGAACUCUGAAGAAACUGCCGGUGACAAACCGGAGGAAGGUGGGGACGACGUCAAAUCAUCAUGCCCUUUAUGUCCUGGGCUACACACGUGCUACAAUGGCCGGUACAGGAGGGGGGGCGGAAGGAGUGAUCUGGAGUGAAUCCCAAAAACGCCGGUCUCAGUUCGGAUUGCAGGCUGCAACCCG